AGAGUUUGAUCAUGGCUCAGAUUGAACGCUGGCGGCAGGCCUAACACAUGCAAGUCGAGCGCGAAAACACUUCGGUGUGAGUAGAGCGGCGGACGGGUGAGUAAUGCUUGGGAAUCUGCCCAGUAGUGGGGGAUAACGUGUGGAAACGCACGCUAAUACCGCAUACGUCCUACGGGAGAAAGCAGGGGAUCUUCGGACCUUGCGCUAUUGCAUGAGCCCAAGUCAGAUUAGCUAGUUGGUGAGGUAAUGGCUCACCAAGGCGACGAUCUGUAGCUGGUCUGAGAGGAUGAUCAGCCACACUGGGACUGAGACACGGCCCAGACUCCUACGGGAGGCAGCAGUGGGGAAUAUUGCAC
rnacentral:rRNA from 1 species